UUAAAAUAGUGGUGUCAAAAGAAGUGAGAGCAGGGCUUUCAGCAAUGGUCGAUUUGAUAGUCUGAAAACUAACCUUGCAGGAUGCAUCCCAGUUAAAUGUACCGCCUCUGAAGGUACCUCUACUAGUCCCUCUACAAAAGGACAGCUUGGGCCAAGGUCACGAAUCUAAGGGAAAGGACACAAGGGCUCUCAUUUUGGUGUCUCUCAGCUAUGUGGAGAACAGCAACUGGACCGGAGGAGUCAGAGGGAUGAAGAACUGGAAGAUUGUAGGGCAAAAACACUGAUGGGAAAAGCACUCUCCAUACUCACCUGGAGUUUUAGCAGCUGCAUAGAGCCUACCAGAUUAGCCCUGCCCCUGGAGUCUUUGGAGGAGGUGGUAUAUACAGAAGACCCUCAAGACUUUCAUGUUCUCACAAGCUUUUAGUUAGAAUUUUAAUAAUUUUAAUAAUUUGU